rnacentral:sRNA from 1 species
UUUGUUUUGUUAAAAAAUCUCAACCAAUUAAAAUUUGCCACGUAUCCGUCCUUUAACAUCAUCAAAAUUCCUAAAAUUAGGUGCGAUCCUAAGUAUUUAUCACAUUUUAGAUUUAAUUUU